GAUAAGAUUGAGGACCCAUGGGUUAAACAAUGUGAUUGCACACACCCGAAGGGACCACUGGAAGAGCUAGUGCCUUGGCUGUGUGGAUAGUGUGCCGUGUUAGAGCCCAUUUCACAUGAUAGCGGAGCUCAGCGAGUUCCUUCUUUUGUUACGGUUUCUUACACCGUUUCCCUCCAAAAACAAAACGUAAGGUACCUGUUGGGGAAGAGGCCCACUAGUGGACCACCGCCAUGUCGGAGUCACGCUGGCCAUGGGUGCUACUGCACACUGCACUGGCCAGAGACCGAACGAGGGAGCAUUCAACCCCAGCCAUUGGUAGGCACAGAAGCCAGAAGAGAGAGCAUCACAGGAGGCGUCGGGUACCGCGGGUGGGCGUUGUGUGUGUGUGUGGCCUGCCGAUGAGGGUCGUUGGCCAAGGAGACUUGGACCAUCCUGCGCUCAGAUGGUCAGACUGGUCGCCAGAGGCCUGUCUUGACGGUGCAUGCGGAAUGGAGUCACGGUUCAAACGUGGUCAGAUGGUGAGGACCGCUCACCGGAGACCCGGGUGACCGUGCAUGUGGAACAGAUGUUCGUUCCAGAAGGUGGCCGUUCUCCACUUCCUGUUCCAGGGCUGAUGGAGAGCAGCUGCUGCGGCAGCGUUCUGUGGCCAGCGCGUUGGGCCGGUCGUCUGGACCGGACGGGAUCGUGUCUCGCCGCUGAACUGUGCGGUUCGUGCAACGUGCAUCAGUGCUGAUAUGUGGGGAAUCUACCUGCUGUGAACGAUGUCUUGUCCUUUUGCACAUUUGCAUGCGCGCAUGUACGCAGGGCAGUCUACAAUGCGAGCAGGGCAGUGUGCAGUGCUAGCGCAGCAGAGCUCAUAAAGAUGUACGUCAAUGCCGGGCAGAGCAGGGCUGCACAAUACAUCAAAUCGCAAUCUCUGUGUGUUGAGAAUAACUGACAACAUGGGUGUAUAGGCAAUCUUUUAUUUUAUUUUUUUGUCUUUAAUCAUACCUGAUGCGUUGGUAAGCAGAAAAAAAAAAACGUCAAGAGGCCAUGUAAAAUGUUUCCAGGACAAAAAUAAAUAAAUAACAUCACUGAUGUCAUCAAUGAUGAUUGAGUGCUGAUAAGACAGCCAAUCAACAACAAGGCCCUGCUGCUUCCAUGUGAUUGAUAAAGCACAUCACAUGAUCGCAUAGAAGCUGUGCAGCUGAUUGACGUUACUGAUUGCUCCUGUCUUAUCAACACCCAAUAGACAUCAGUGAUGAAGUUUUUUCUUGGAAGCGUUUCAGAUGGCCUCUGACGCUUGGUUGUUCACUACCGCACCAGGUCUGUUUUAAGGGGAAAAAAGGAUGAAAAAUCGUCGGACAUUCUCAUUGCCCUAAAAAAAAAGAUUCAAUUUGAAGAUUCAAUACAUUAUGCAGCCCUAACACACAGCAGUCUGCAGGCCAUAAAGCCGUCUGUGCAUGAACACAGGGAGCAGUCUGCAGUGCUAACAGAGCAACCUGCAGCUCACAAAGACACAGGAAUAGAGGAGAGGGCUGGCCGGCUGGCAGAUGCAUAGACGUUGUGGGUGGUGAUCUACAGUAAUGGGACAUUAAUGAGACAGUAAUGCCAUGCAUUCUAACGGUGCUUUGCAGCACACUGUGGGGACACCAUAGAACUGAGCUGAGGGACCGUAUGCUUGAAAACUGUGUAAAGGUGCCACAGACCAUUCAGACAGUCAGGUUUUUAUUGCCUGCGAGCCCUGCCUUGUAUGUAUGGGAGUUUGAAAAUCAUUGAAACUUUAAAAACAAAACAAACAAAAAAAUAACAUUGCAACACUAAGACAUAUGAUCAAGCCAGGAAGAUUUCUGCAUCUCAUUCUCGCAAGAAUGGUGUGAGCGUGUGGGUGGGGAAAAAAUGCAUAAUUCUGCAGCGUUUUGGCUGUGCAAUCCCAUGGCAAUAUAACAGUUCACUGUGGGAAAAGCUAGGCGUCUGUGUCUUUCUGUCUGUAUUGGUUUGUGUGUAUGUGUGCCAGCACACACUUUGGACCCCACAAAAUCCAUUCUUUUCCUGGUUGGAGUUGAAAAGUAUGCCUAUGUGUCAGCUUUGGAAACAGUAGGCAUGUCUUCAGCUGCCUCUGAUCAUCUCUAACUGCAGUCUUAAUGGGUAUUUUCCCUGAUAAGAGGUGCUUCUAAUAAAGUGUUGUGCUCAUUA